rnacentral:rRNA from 1 species
AUGCAAGUCGAGCGGACAGAUGGGAGCUUGCUCCCUGAUGUUAGCGGCGGACGGGUGAGUAACACGUGGGGAACCUGCCUGGAAGAAUGGGAAAACUCCGGGAAACCGGGGCUAAUACCGGAUGCUUGUUUGAACCGCAUGGUUCAAACAUAAAAGGUGGCUUCGGCUACCACUUACAGAUGGACCCGCGGCGCAUUAGCUAGUUGGUGAGGUAAUGGCUCACCAAGGCAACGAUGCGUAGCCGACCUGACGAGGGUGAUCGGCCACACUGGGACUGAGACACGGCCCACACUCCUACGGGAGGCAGCAGUAUGGGAAUCUUCCGCAAUGGACGAAGGUCUGACGGAGCAUGGCCGCGUGAGUGAUGAAGGUUUUCGGAUCGUAAAGCUCUGUUGUUAGGGAAGAACAAGUACCGUUCAAUAAGGGGGUACCUUGACGGUACCUAACCAGAAAGCCACGGCUAACUACGUGCCAGCAGCCGCGGUAAUACGUAGGUGGCAAGCGUUGUCCGGAAUUAUUGGGCGUAAAGGGCUCGCAGGCGGUUUCUUAAGUCUGAUGUGAAAGCCCCCGGCUCAACCGGGGAGGGUCAUUGGAAACUGGG